UCAACGACGAAUUCUUGUGGCUACCAACCUAUUUGGCCGAGGCAUGGAUAAUGAGUGGGUGAACAUUGCCUUCAAUUAUGACAUGCCUGAGGAUUCUGACACCUACCUGCAUAGGGUGGCCCGAGCAGGUCGGUUUGGCACUAAGGGCUUGGCCAUCACUUUUGUGUCAGAUGAAAAUGAUGCCAAGAUCCUCAAUGAUAUGCAGGAUCGAUUUGAAGUCAAUAUUAGUGAGCUGCCCGAUGAGAUAGACAUUUCCUCUUACAUUGAACAGACGCGGUAGAGGACUCACCAACCUAUUUGGAAUGUGACAGUCUGUCCCUGUUCAGGAGAUGACAGCGGGCAUGGGGUGAAGGAGACACUACUGCCACCUACCCCUGAUAACCCCCACCCCCACCCCAUGGCUUCCCCCUUUUGCAUCACCACCACUCCUAAACCCCUGUUUCCGGAAUUGUCUGAAUUUUUUUUAACAAAACUAAAAAACACAUGCGUCUGUGGUGUCUGUAA